rnacentral:misc_RNA from 1 species
CCACGAGUAUCCAAAAACAUUUGUUGCAAAGAAAAGUGCAGGGAUUACCAAUUUUUAUUCAAUAGGCUUUUCUUGCACUUAAAAAAAUUAAAUAGAAAUAAGCAUUUGACUUAUAGAAUAAAAUGCUAAUUGAGUAUAAUUUCUCUAUAAUUAUUUGAAACUAAUAAAAUCUUAGGAUGAAUAUGAAGAUAUAGCGAUCAAUAAAUAUUAUUUAACAUUUAUAUAAAAAGAUAAUUUAGAGUUACAUAUGCAAUAUUAUAUAAGAGUUGAUCCGUAACUCUGUUACUGGAAUCCAAUAGAGUCAACAAAAAUCUCGAAUUAUACCUACCCUGUAGAAUUAUAAACGACUAUUAUUUUCUUUUCACAAAUUUCCACUAGGAAAAUUGAUCAUAAUUAUUAGACUGAAAAAUUUGUAAACAAUUGAUCCACUUGUGAUACUAAAAUUCUAGAAGUUAUAUUACAAAGAUAUUGAUAGAGAGGGGUAAUUGGGAACAAAAUUUCCCGUAUAUAAAUUGUUGCAAUUCUUGAACGAAAAAUUAUUGCAAUUAAAGUUAAAAAUUAAUAUGAUAUUAGAUGUGCAGGCAGUUAAAUUUUGAAUGCAAUCCAUGGCAAUGAAUGAAAUAAAUAUUUAAGGUUAUGUUUGGUAGAACAUAAUGUAAUACAGUAUAAUCAGCUAUGUAAUAUAAUUAAAAUUAUAAUGUAUCAUUACAUUUCUAUGCUUGGUUAUAAAAUAAAAAUAAAAAUAAUAUAAUGUAAUGAUAAUUUUUAUUUUAAUAU